UUGACCCGACAUGCGGGUCUAUUAAAACAUUAACCCGCAUCUUGAUUCGUUGCAAACCACUCAAGUAUCUAGUAUAUUGCAUCAGUUAGGCGUGCCAGUCGUAGCAUGGCACACAAGGAGUGUUGAGGACGUAUGUUUUCAGAUAACUGUUCGUCCGAAGACCGCAGCCUUCAAUUAAUGUUAACUUUACCUAAUUAAUUGCCGCAGGAUACUAUAUCGACAGAAGCGGAAUAAGUAACACAUAGAGGACUGUGCGUCAGUAUUAUCACCUGCGAGCUCACUUUGCUUAGCGCAAGCUGUUUUGGUCAAAACAAACGAAGAAAGUACAUAAGGAUUCAAGGGUUAUGUCUUCAAAUUCUAUAAGCAUGUACCCCGUUAGAAUGAACCCUCUGUUUCUUACCGCAAGGGUUACGGUACGGGUCAAAAGACCCACUUCGGGCUCGCUGCCAGAUUUGUAUCUCGUGAAGACAUUCAUGAGCCACGAUUCCGACGGAAGUAGAUCUUAUUCCAAUAUGGAAGAAGUAUACGAUGAGUGUUCCAGCAGAGGCACACUUGACUGCCGUCUUUAUACUCCUAGCGAUUUUUGAUGAACAUAGAUCAAAUAUCGAACGUUCGGACCCCUCUAUGUCUCCAACAAUCACUUUUAUCAGGCGUUAUAUCAUAUCAGAUAUAAAAAAGAAGAAGCUAAAUUCCGCGAAGAUUUGGUAUCGAUCUCACAAUGGCAAGUGUUGCCCACCGUCACGUACAAGGGCACUCAUACCACAGGCGACUUAUUCUGGAGUUGGCUUUGCAGAUAGCGUCACGAAACGGAAAAGAAAACACGACGCCUAUACGAUUGCCCCCCAAAUAUAAUAUAAUCAUUAUAUUAUAUUCAUAUAUAGAGAGAGAUGC